UCAUUUAAAGAAAGCGUAAUAGCUCACUGGUCGAGUCGGCCUGCGCGGAAGAUGUAACGGGGCUAAACCAUGCACCGAAGCUGCGGCAGCGACACUGUGUGUUGUUGGGUAGGGGAGCGUUCUGUAAGCCUGUGAAGGUGUACUGUGAGGUAUGCUGGAGGUAUCAGAAGUGCGAAUGCUGACAUAAGUAACGAUAAAGCGGGUGAAAAGCCCGCUCGCCGGAAGACCAAGGGUUCCUGUCCAACGUUAAUCGGGGCAGGGUGAGUCGACCCCUAAGGCGAGGCCGAAAGGCGUAGUCGAUGGGAAACAGGUUAAUAUUCCUGUACUUGGUGUUACUGCGAAGGGGGGACGGAGAAGGCUAUGUUGGCCGGGCGACGGUUGUCCCGGUUUAAGCGUGUAGGCUGGUUUUCCAGGCAAAUCCGGAAAAUCAAGGCUGAGGCGUGAUGACGAGGCACUACGGUGCUGAAGCAACAAAUGCCCUGCUUCCAGGAAAAGCCUCUAAGCAUCAGGUAACAUCAAAUCGUACCCCAAACCGACACAGGUGGUCAGGUAGAGAAUACCAAGGCGCUUGAGAGAACUCGGGUGAAGGAACUAGGCAAAAUGGUGCCGUAACUUCGGGAGAAGGCACGCUGAUAUGUAGGUGAAGUCCCUCGCGGAUGGAGCUGAAAUCAGUCGAAGAUACCAGCUGGCUGCAACUGUUUAUUAAAAACACAGCACUGUGCAAACACGAAAGUGGACGUAUACGGUGUGACGCCUGCCCGGUGCCGGAAGGUUAAUUGAUGGGGUCAGCGCAAGCGAAGCUCUUGAUCGAAGCCCCGGUAAACGGCGGCCGUAACUAUAACGGUCCUAAGGUAGCGAAAUUCCUUGUCGGGUAAGUUCCGACCUGCACGAAUGGCGUAAUGAUGGCCAGGCUGUCUCCACCCGAGACUCAGUGAAAUUGAACUCGCUGUGAAGAUGCAGUGUACCCGCGGCAAGACGGAAAGACCCCGUGAACCUUUACUAUAGCUUGACACUGAACAUUGAGCCUUGAUGUGUAGGAUAGGUGGGAGGCUUUGAAGUGUGGACGCCAGUCUGCAUGGAGCCGACCUUGAAAUACCACCCUUUAAUGUUUGAUGUUCUAACGUGGACCCGUGAUCCGGGUUGCGGACAGUGUCUGGUGGGUAGUUUGACUGGGGCGGUCUCCUCCUAAAGAGUAACGGAGGAGCACGAAGGUUGGCUAAUCCUGGUCGGACAUCAGGAGGUUAGUGCAAUGGCAUAAGCCAGCUUGACUGCGAGCGUGACGGCGCGAGCAGGUGCGAAAGCAGGUCAUAGUGAUCCGGUGGUUCUGAAUGGAAGGGCCAUCGCUCAACGGAUAAAAGGUACUCCGGGGAUAACAGGCUGAUACCGCCCAAGAGUUCAUAUCGACGGCGGUGUUUGGCACCUCGAUGUCGGCUCAUCACAUCCUGGGGCUGAAGUAGGUCCCAAGGGUAUGGCUGUUCGCCAUUUAAAGUGGUACGCGAGCUGGGUUUAGAACGUCGUGAGACAGUUCGGUCCCUAUCUGCCGUGGGCGCUGGAGAACUGAGGGGGGCUGCUCCUAGUACGAGAGGACCGGAGUGGACGCAUCACUGGUGUUCGGGUUGUCAUGCCAAUGGCACUGCCCGGUAGCUAAAUGCGGAAGAGAUAAGUGCUGAAAGCAUCUAAGCACGAAACUUGCCCCGAGAUGAGUUCU
rnacentral:rRNA from 1 species